GGAAAGGUGGCAGAGUGGUCGAAUGCGCCGGACUCGAAAUCCGGUGUACGGUUUUACCGUACCGAGGGUUCGAAUCCCUCCCUUUCCG
rnacentral:tRNA from 1 species